GACGUAGGGGGCCAGCGUUGUUCGGAAUUACUGGGCGUAAAGGGCUCGUAGGCGGCCAACUAAGUCAGACGUGAAAUCCCUCGGCUUAACCUGGGAACUGCGUCCGAUACUGGAUGGCUUGAAUUCGGGAGAGGGAUGCAGAAUUCCAGGUGUAGCGGUGAAAUGCGUAGAUAUCUGGAGGAAUACCGGUGGCGAAGGCGGCAUCCUGGACCGACAUUGACGCUGAACGGCGAAAGCUAGGGGAGCAAACGGG
rnacentral:rRNA from 1 species